rnacentral:rRNA from 4 species
ACAACUUUCAACAACGGAUCUCUUGGUUCUGGCAUCGAUGAAGAACGCAGCA